rnacentral:lncRNA from 1 species
GUAAUUUCAUUUUCUCAGGUCAUUCAGUAUGACACUAUUUUAUGUUUAAACAGAAUUCCCACCUUACAAUCUACGUAUUUUAUGAAGAAUAUUACAAGGCUUCCAUCACUGAUUAGUUUCAACGAAGUAUUUGCUUCACUUCUUCCUAUUGUUGUUGCUCCAAAAACAGCUUUUGCAGUAAUCCCUCCAAGUGACUGCCAGAACGGGACUUCUCCACAACUUCAUAAAGGCUGCUAUACAUUCCAUUCCUCAACACUGACAUGGGACGAGAGGAGAAAGAAGUGAGAAGAAGAAAAUAAAAUAAAAUAAAAUUCAAAUUCAGUAAACAUUCUGAAUUUAAAAGAUUAAUACAGAACA